AAUUGGAGGGCAAGUCUGGUGCCAGCAGCCGCGGUAAUUCCAGCUCCAAUAGCGUAUAUUAAAGUUGUUGCAGUUAAAAAGCUCGUAGUUGAAUUUCGGGAUCAAUAUUUCGGUCAUGCCGUUGGUAUGCACUGUUAUCAUUGAUUUCUCACCUUCUAAAGAACCGUAAUGCCAUUAAUUUGGUGUUACGGGGAAUUAGGACUGUUACCUUGAAAAAAUUAGAGUGUUUAAAGCAGGCUCACGCUUGAAUACAUUAGCAUGGAAUAAUGAAAUAGGACAUCCGAUUCUAUUUUGUUGGUUUCUAGGAUCGAUGUAAUGAUUAAUAGGGAUAGUUGGGGGCAUUAGUAUUCAAUUGUCAGAGGUGAAAUUCUUGGAUUUAUUGAAGACUAACUACUGCGAAAGCAUUUGCCAAGGAUGUUUUCAUUAAUCAAGAACGAAAGUUAGGGGAUCGAAGACGAUCAGAUACCGUCGUAGUCUUAACCAUAAACUAUGCCGACUAGGGAUCGGAUGAUGUUAAUUUUAUAAUGACUCAUUCGGCGCCUUACGGGAAACCAAAGUGU
rnacentral:rRNA from 1 species